rnacentral:rRNA from 1 species
UACAGAGGGUGCGAGCGUUGUCCGGAAUCACUGGGCGUAAAGGGCGCGUAGGCGGUCUCUUAAGCGUGUGGCGAAAGCCCGGGGCUCAACUCCGGGUCGGCCGUGCGAACUGGGGGACUGGAGCUUGUCAGAGGCAGGCGGAAUUCCCGGUGUAGCGGUGAAAUGCGCAGAUAUCGGGAGGAACACCAAUUGCGAAGGCAGCUCGCUGGGACGUUACUGACGCUGAGACGCGAAAGCGUGGGGAGCAAACAGG